GACGAACGCUGGCGGCGUGCCUAAUACAUGCAAGUAGAACGCUGAAGGAGGAGCUUGCUUCUCUGGAUGAGUUGCGAACGGGUGAGUAACGCGUAGGUAACCUGCCUGGUAGUGGGGGAUAACUAUUGGAAACGAUAGCUAAUACCGCAUAAUAGCAGUUGUUGCAUGAUAACUGUUUGAAAGGUGCAAUUGCACCGCUACCAGAUGGACCUGCGUUGUAUUAGCUAGUUGGUGAGGUAACGGCUCACCAAGGCGACGAUACAUAGCCGACCUGAGAGGGUGAUCGGCCACACUGGGACUGAGACACGGCCCAGACUCCUACGGGAGGCAGCAGUAGGGAAUCUUCGGCAAUGGACGGAAGUCUGACCGAGCAACGCCGCGUGAGUGAAGAAGGGUUUCGGAUCGUAAAGCUCUGUUGUAAGAGAAGAACGAGUGUGAGAGUGGAAAGUUCACACUGUGACGGUAUCUUACCAGAAAGGGACGGCUAACUACGUG
rnacentral:rRNA from 1 species